CAGGUGAAGAUUUCUCCUGGAGGUUUAUGUCCUUGGUGUCUUGGCUGAAUUUCUCGUAGCCCUACUGUUGCCUCGUCUGGGGCAAUUUUUCAAAGUCUACUAGGGUACUGAAUCUUGGCUAUAGACUUAAGGAAUGAAUGACUGAACACAACACAUCCCUUCCCUGAAGCAGGCUACUGUCCACAAAAUAUUACAACAAAUACAUUUCACCAGAUGUUUUCUCAGCCCACUUUGCAUCUGAUGAUGAGAGGACAAUGUGGCUCGUGGAGAUAUUGCACCAGCUAAGCAUAUCACCAUCUCUGGAGGAGGAAGAGGAGGAGGAGGAGGGGAAGGAGAAAAAGCAUAAAUUGAUAGCAAUAUGCAGGAGGAAAUGCUAUUAACAGAGGAACAGUCAGAGUCUGCCACCGGUAUGACUACAGUGAGACCAGACCUCAUUCCUCAACAGAAACAAAUACAAAAUUGUCUCCACUUCCUCACCUUUGAACUUUGGCAACAAGUCACUCAGGUGGGGUACAGACCACCGCUUUGCGGCGGUC